GAGACAGACAGUUUUGAAACAUGCUUUGACAUGGGUCAGGAUCGAGUGCAGCAUGGGGAACAUCAAAUAAGACACAAUGGCAACACUAACUUUUUUAGUGCCAUCCAGAAAUACUGAGAGAGCUACAACAGCAUGAGCCUGAAGUGAAUGUCCAAACUCAAUCCAUGUCACCAAUAGGGCUGGUAUUCUUUGAAAUUUUCAAAUACUAUGGGGCGGGGCCUCUGAGGAACUGCCAAUCAGCAACUGACACACCUGUUACCCAUCUGCUGCUGCUCACCUGCUCUCCAUCCACAAUCACACCUGACAAUAUAUCUACCUGGCUCUUCUCACCAGUCUUUGCCAGAUCGUCCGUUUACUUUAGUGGCGUAACUUGGCUCGUGACUACCGUCUUAGAGAUAUUACCUGCAUGUCGGAACGCCUGACUAACUCUUUGACUCCCCUGUGUCCAGGUUCGCUUGUGUCACCUGCCUCCAAGUUGCCCUCUGGCUUUCCAGGAGGACCUCACCACAGCUCUCAUCUGCUUCCCCUCAGACCACUGUUCCUGCCUCAUCCUACCUGCUCUCCCCAGCCUCGUGUCGGUCCGCUGUCUGCCUCCAGUCUACCGGCUUCCAGCAAUACCUCCACAUUCCUGGUUCCUCAUUGUGUUUCCUAUAAAUAAAUGUAACCUACUACUUCA